UUAAUGUUCCAAGUGGCACUGGAAAUGUUAAAAGAGAACGAGAAGCUCAUUUGUGAAUCGAGAGAUGACGGAGAAAUUCUGAUGAGCCUUGCAAAAUAUACUGAAAGCAUUUACGAAGGGGAUACUGUAGUUGAGAGAAAACCAUCGACUGUACAACUUGGAACAACAAUUCUUUCGGAUUUGGAAGAGGCUGCAUCGACUAUGAUCAAUUUUAUGGGCACAGAUAUUACUCGAACGUUUCCAAAGGUAAUAUUUUUAGCCUGAAAUUUCGAAAUAAAAAUUAGAAAUAGGAUUUCUUCAGAAAAAAAACUAUUAAAAAAUGUUUUCUAAAUUUUCUUCUAAUAGAUAAUUCACAUGCCUGGAAAACUGUUUUCUGGUGUUGCGAAAAUUGGUUUUUUCGAUUUUUCGAAUUUUUAAUUUCAAAAAAUUUCAAUUUCUUUUUUAAAAGUCUCGAAUUUUCUAUAACUUUCUUACUGAAUAUUUUUAAAAUCUGAAAAUUUCAAUUUUACAUGAUAAGUAUUUUAAUUACAAAAACAUCGUUGUAUUUUUGCAAAUUACUAACUAGAAAAACAGAAAAAAAGAGCAACAUUCCAAAAACUAAAUUUUUUUUCCAAAUCAAAAAAUUUUAAUGAUUUUGAAAUCAUUAAAAAUCGUUUUUAAAAAUAUAACAAAAUUAAAACAAAAAUUAUUAUAAUUUCCGCUAAAACAACUCACUUCUCUGAAUUUUUUUUGCAAAUUUUGAUGGUUUUUAGAAAAACGGAAAAUUAUCAAUUCGAUCUCUUUUUGAAAAUUGAAAAAAAAAAAAAUUUAAUUACAAAAAAGUCUAAAAUAUUUCAUUUUUGCCAAAUUUACCAAAAAAAAAAGAAAAAGAGACUAGACUAACAAAAAAUUUAAUUUUUCCGAGAAAUAGAAAAUAGAAAAAUAGUUUUCAAAAAUUACAAAAAUGUACGAAAACUCCCCGAUUACUAUUUAUAUAUCUACAAAAAUAAGUAUUUAUAAUUUAAUGAAAGAAAUGCUCCUCAAAAAAUAUAUUUAUAUCUUAUAAUUUUCAAAAAAAAAAAGAAUGUUUGAAAUCACAAAAAUCCGGGGAAGAAUAUUGAUUUUCUUCAAAAAAAUAUACCGGAGCUAACAAUUUUUUAAUAAUAAAAUACCAGCAAAAAAAAACAAAAAGUAUUUUUAAUUUUAUCGAUAAUCCUCCAUGUGAUUUUACAACUUCCAAUCCACUUUUUUUAAACUCAGUAUUCAAUAUUCUAAUUUAGAUUCCCAUCGGUGACCUUCUGGCGAAUUCAUAUCAAAACUUUGGAUACUGCUUCACGAAUGAGAAUAUCGAAACUCUUCGCCUAAAAAAUCGUCUAAAAGUAGUCCAAAAUUUGGAAGACAAUCAGAUGAGAAGUAUUAUCAAGAGUAUUGGAAAAGAUUGCCGAUUUACGAAUGAAGAACUUGAAGCGUUGUAUAAUGUUGUGAAGG
rnacentral:sRNA from 1 species